rnacentral:rRNA from 1 species
UCAAAACCCCCCCCCACCAGUGAAAUAUAUUAUAAGAUAUAAUAAAAUUAAUGUUAAAACUAGUAAUAAGAAAACAAGAUUUUCUCACGUGCACCAAUGUAAGUCAGAGUGAACAAAUCACUGACAACUAUAAGUAAAUAUAAGUUCAUAAACAAGACAACAUAUUAAUUUCAAUAUUAAACCGACACUGGAGUGCACCAAUGAAAGAUAAAAAGAUAAAGAAGGAAUUCAGCAAACACGACUCCCGCCUGUUUACCAAAAACAUCACCUCUAGCAUACGUAUUAGAGGCCCUGCCUGCCCAGUGAUAUAAUUCAACGGCCGCGGUAUUCUGACCGUGCAAAGGUAGCAUAAUCACUUGUCUUUUAAAUAAAGACUAGAAUGAACGGCAAAACGAGGUAUCAACUGUCUCCUUUAUCUAGUCAAAGAAACUGAUCUCUCUGUGAAAAAGCAGAGAUAAUUAUACAAGACGAGAAGACCCUAUGAAGCUUAAAUACACACAUACAAAAACUUAUUCAUAUAAGUCCUAAAUCAAUAACUGUAACACAUUUGGUUGGGGUGACCACGGAGAAAAAGUAACCUCCGAGAAAAUAAAUUAAGAAAAACAAUUCAAAAUUAGACCAAAUAACUUGAUCCAAUCUUAUUGAACAACGAAACAAGUUACUCUAGGGAUAACAGCGCAAUAUUCUCCAAGAGUUCCUAUCGACGAGAAAGUUUACGACCUCGAUGUUGGAUCAGGAUAUCCAGACAAU